rnacentral:rRNA from 2 species
GACUACGGCCAUACCACCCUGAACGCGCCCGAUCUCGUCUGAUCUCGGAAGCUAAGCAGGGUCGGGCCUGGUUAGUACUAGUACUUGGAUGGGAGACAGGGUUUCACCAUGUUGG